AUUGAACGCUGGCGGAAUGCUUUACACAUGCAAGUCGAACGGCAGCACGGGGGCAACCUUGGUGGCGAGUGGCGAACGGGUGAGUAACACAUCGGAACAUGCCCAGUCGUGGGGGAUAACGUAGCGAAAGUUACGCUAAUACCGCAUACGAUCUAAGGAUGAAAGCGGGGGACCGUAAGGCCUCGCCGGAUUGGAGUGGCCGAUGCCAGAUUAGGUAGUUGGUGGGGUAAAGGCUCACCAAGCCAACGAUCUGUAGCUGGUCUGAGAGGACGACCAGCCACACUGGGACUGAGACACGGCCCAGACUCCUACGGGAGGCAGCAGUGGGGAAUUUUGGACAAUGGGCACAAGCCUGAUCCAGCCAUUCCGCGUGCAGGACGAAGGCCUUCGGGUUGUAAACUGCUUUUGUACGGAGCGAAAAGCCUUGGGUUAAUACCUCGGGGUCAUGACGGUACCGUAAGAAUAAGCACCGGCUAACUACGUGCCAGCAGCCGCGGUAA
rnacentral:rRNA from 1 species